rnacentral:rRNA from 1 species
CCUACGGGAGGCAGCAGUGGGGAAUAGUGCGCAAUGGGCGAAAGCCUGACGCAGCGACGCCGCGUGAGGGAUGAAGGUCUUCGGAUCGUAAACCUCUGUCAGCAGGGAAGAACGGUCACGGUGCUAAUCAGCAGUGAAUUGACGGUACAUGCAAAGGAAGCACCGGCUAACUCCGUGCCAGCAGCCGCGGUAAUACGGAGGGUGCGAGCGUUAAUCGGAAUUACUGGGCGUAAAGCGCUCGUAGGCGGUAUGUCCAGUCAAGGGUGAAAUCCCCGCGCUCAACGUGGGAACUGCCUUUGAAACUGGCAAACUGGAGUGUGUGAGCGGAUAGUGGACUUCCAGGUGUAGGCG